AACGUUCAUGUAGACAAAACACCCAUAUCCAUAAAAUAUUUUUAAAAAAAAGAACGGUAACUAGUGCACCAGAGGGCGUCCCCGUUUCCUCCGCUUUUUGUUCCAUCGGGCUCCCAGCCUACUGGAUGGUGCUGUCCAUCUGCAGGGCGGGUCUCUGCCACCCCAAGCACGGCUCUCCUACCUGCACACCAAUCUUCUUCCAAAACAUCCCCACAAAUAAAACCAGACGUUUGCCAGUUUCCUGGUGACUCUGCAUCUGGGUACAUUGCUUCCCGUAAUUGUUGUCAUUGUCAGCUUCACGAAAAAGUACCUGGGACAUUUAGGAGACACACCUUUGGGUGUGUCUGUGAAGAGAGGGAGAAAGAUCCACUCCGGGUGUGCCCAGCACUGCUCUACAAGGGGGAUCCUGACUGUCUAAAAGCAGAAACGCCAGCUGAGUAUCAGUAUGCUUCCCGAUUCUCUAAGAUGUGAGCAAGCAGCCUCACCUUCCUGCAGCCGCGGCUAAGAGUGGUUCCUGCCACCGUGCCUCUCUGCUAGGAAGGACUGUUGCCUUAAACUGUGAGCUAAAUGAACGCUCCUUCCCUCAAGUCGCUCCUUAUCAUGUACUCAGUUCCAGCCUAGUCAUCGCGGUUUCAGGAGUGACUGUGUGGUUCUUUAAAGGAGGGCCAGUAUUGUGACUGUGUGUGACAACUGAGCCCAAAUAUCCCAGAAAGGAGGUAUUACAAAGAG
rnacentral:lncRNA from 1 species